UUGUGGUGUCAAAAGAGAAACUCAUUCUUCUGGGAGAAACAGGAAAUUAUCUAAGGCGAUGGAGAGUAUUGAUCAUAAAAUUGAGAUAAUAUCCACUGCUGUGGGAAGGAGGUCGGAAUUCGUGCAUCCAUUAUCCGAUCAGCGCUGUAUAUAUAGAGUGCCCAAGCGAUUACAUCAGUUAAAUGAAAAGGCUUACACACCCCAACUAGUUUCUAUCGGCCCUCUUCAUCAUGGCAAACAAGAACUACAACCAAUGGAAGACUAUAAAAGCAGAAACCAUUCUUCUUAGCAGCGAGGACUUUGUGAAUAUGAUCUUAUUAGAUGCCUCCUUCCUCAUAAUGUUGGUGCUGAAACAUUAUUUAGUUGACUUGAGGGGUAGUGACGACGCUAUAUUCAACCGGCCAUGGAUGGUUACUGAAAUAAAUUAUGAUCUAUUGUUGCUUGAAAAUCAACUUCCCUUUUUUAUUCUGGAGGACUUGCUAAAGCUGACUGAUUAUCUUGCUCGUCAUGAGGGGCUUUCCAUGAUCAAACUUCUCCAUGAAUACUCCAAACAAUGGUGGCCUUUAUGGGUGAAGGAGGAUGCUCUGGGGAAGAAAGAUUUCUCUGACGUAAAGCAUAUUGUUGACUUUCUAAGUAUUUACCACAGGCCAUCCCAGUUGCCAUCUCCUAAGAAUUGCAAACAGAUAUCCCUUCCCAGUGUAACAGAGCUCCACCAAACUGGAGUAAAGUUUAAGUUGAGUUCAAGCAAAAACUUCUUCGACAUAAACUUCAGAAAUGGGAUUCUGGAAAUUCCCCUAUUGAUUAUAGAUGACCGCACUGAAAUUUUUUUGAGAAAUCUCCAUGCCUUUGAGCAGUGCCAUUGCUCUCCCUGUGACCGAUAUUUGAGUCAAUGUACAAUCCUGAUGGCCAAGCUCUUCAAUGCUGCUAAAGAUGUGGAAUUGCUCGCUCGAACUGGGAUCAUAAAUAAUUGUUUAGUGGAUAAUGAGGCUCUAUCAACUCUUUUUCGCGAUCUUGUCAAAGGGCUUUGUAUCGGCAAAAUUUACUUUUCUGAUCUAGAGGAAGAAUUAAACAAAUAUUACAGAUCCCCCUGGCACCGUCGGAAGGCUAACUUGAAACAGAAUUAUUUCAACAGUCCAUGGGCUGGCAUCUCUGUUUUUGCUGCUACCAUUCUGCUCACUUUCAGUAUUAUUCAAGCCGUGAGUUCAAUCCUGCAAGUAAAACAAGGUUAGGUGCUCCCAUUGCAUGUGUUGCAUGUGGAUCUUUGCAUUACUGUCUUGUAUGCUGGAAAUCACAGUUGCUCUUUCAUCGUCUCUUCUUUUCUUUCACAAUGUCAGUGACUGAAAAUUGGAAACUGUGGUCAAUUAUAGAUCUUUCUUUUUCUUUUUCCAAAAACAGAAUUGUUCUGUGUUAA
rnacentral:misc_RNA from 1 species